GUGUGAUGUUUAACUUUUAAUCCAGGAAUAAAACUUUUUAAAAUAGUAGAUGAGAACUAAAGUAUCAUAGAUACGAAUACUAUGUCUACAUUAUCUCAGUGUUCCUUGUUAUAUUGUCAAAAUCUUGAACUGACAAUGGACAAUUAACAAAAGUAUGAACCUGAGAAAAUGCAACAAAUAAUCUCCGAGGAAAGUCGAUCGUUG
rnacentral:lncRNA from 1 species